UACCCGUGGGUUUGGUCUUUAAGAGUGUGUGCGUGGGUUGGAGAGGAGGGGAAUAUUUGACCCCUCUAUAAAGAAAGGUGUGGGAGGAGGGGAGCUCUAGCUUCCGGCGCUUUUCUGGUCUCACGGGGCGGGGAGUAGGGUCUUCAGAGGUUUGGGGGAGCAGCCUUCUCCACUCGAAUCGUCGGAAGUGCUACCGCCACCGCCUCGAGACCCUCUGCGACUUAGUCCGCUAGAAUCGCAUGUGCCCCGACAGGGGCUGCCGGAAGAAGUGGCGGCACCGCCAGCGGCGGCGCGACAUGGUGCAGCACAGCCCCUAGAAGCGCGGCGGCGGCGGAGGGGCCGUCGCCGGCGCGCUCCUCGGGCUCCGCCUCGGCGAGGGCGGAGGGCACGUCGACCCGCUCCAGCUGCUCCUCCUCGAGGCCGUCAUGCUGCCCAGGCUGGGGUUCUUCGGAGAGGACUACCGGUAGUUCCCAGUCUAGAUACUGCAGUGCGUCUCGUCUUACAAGAUGCCUGGACCACCUGGAAUACGGGAUAAACGACCGUUUCUGCGGUCGUCUCGAGAUCGGUUCUACAGAAAGCUCGGGGUCCUGGACUUGCCACUAUGGAGACCGGAGCCCGGCAAACUCGAGCUACGUGACGUUCUGACCCUUAUGUUCAAGUACUCGUUCAUACACUUCCAGCCAUGGUAGUUCUUCCGUCGAGGGCGUCUUCUGCCGUGGUGUUCGUUUAGGGGUCUUUGUUUACUUCGUCAGUGGUGGCUCCGUCUCUGGCUCUUCCGUGGACUCGUGUUCGGUUCCCUCCACUCGAGCCUCCUCCAUUUUCUCUCCCUUCGGUGUCGGCUACGUCAGUCGCGGCUCUCGAUCUCGUUAGGGUAUGGGGGAACACCACCGUUAUUUAGACACAGUAUGUCAUACAUUAGACAUGGUCGUGCAACCUGUACCCCUAUAUCACGACCACGCGACAAUAACAAUCAGGCAGUGACCUCACGACCUAUAAUGACCCCAUCGCCCCACACGUACACGGAGGGGAAACAAUUCGGCAGCCAACUAUGAAAACCCACUUAUUAAAUCGACGACAGAUUUCAUAGAGACCGGACACAACAAUAACAAUCAGCAAUGACCCCACGCAAACGUUUAGGGGGGAGUUUAGUUU
rnacentral:rRNA from 1 species